rnacentral:rRNA from 1 species
GACAGAGGGUGCAAACGUUUGUUCGGAAUUACUGGGCGUAAAGUGUGCGCAGGCGGCCGAGCAAGUCGAGUGUGAAAGCCCCGAGCUUAACUUGGGAACUGCGCUCGAAACUACUUGGCUGGAGUGUGGCAGAGGAAGGUGGAAUUCCACGUGUAGCGGUGAAAUGCGUAGAGAUGUGGAGGAACACCGAUGGCGAAGGCAGCCUUCUGGGCCAACACUGACGCUCAUGCACGAAAGCGUGGGGAGCAAACAGG